UACGGGUCGCUGCAGUGGGGAAUAUUGCGCAAUGGGGGAAACCCUGACGCAGCGACGCCGCGUGUAGGAAGAAGGCCUUCGGGUCGUAAACUACUGUCAGGAGGGAAGAAACUGUUUAGGUCGAAUAGGCCUAUUCACUGACGGUACCUCCAGAGGAAGCACCGGCUAACUCCGUGCCAGCAGCCGCGGUAAUACGGAGGGUGCGAGCGUUAAUCGGAAUCACUGGGCGUAAAGCGUGCGUAGGCGGCGCAGCAAGUCAGACGUGAAAGCCCUCGGCUCAACCGGGGAAUUGCGUUUGAAACUGCUGUGCUUGAGUCUCGGAGAGGUUGGCGGAAUUCCAGGUGUAGGAGUGAAAUCCGUAGAUAUCUGGAGGAACACCGGUGGCGAAGGCGGCCAACUGGACGAGUACUGACGCUGAGGUACGAAAGCGUGGGGAGCAAACAGGAUUAGAUACCCUAGUAGUC
rnacentral:rRNA from 1 species